rnacentral:rRNA from 1 species
GUCUGGUGGGUAGUUUGACUGGGGCGGUCUCCUCCUAAAGAGUAACGGAGGAGCACGAAGGUUGGCUAAUCCUGGUCGGACAUCAGGAGGUUAGUGCAAUGGCAUAAGCCAGCUUGACUGCGAGCGUGACGGCGCGAGCAGGUGCGAAAGCAGGUCAUAGUGAUCCGGUGGUUCUGAAUGGAAGGGCCAUCGCUCAACGGAUAAAAGGUACUCCGGGGAUAACAGGCUGAUACCGCCCAAGAGUUCAUAUCGACGGCGGUGUUUGGCACCUCGAUGUCGGCUCAUCACAUCCUGGGGCUGAAGUAGGUCCCAAGGGUAUGGCUGUUCGCCAUUUAAAGUGGUACGCGAGCUGGGUUUAGAACGUCGUGAGACAGUUCGGUCCCUAUCUGCCGUGGGCGCUGGAGAACUGAGGGGGGCUGCUCCUAGUACGAGAGGACCGGAGUGGACGCAUCACUGGUGUUCGGGUUGUCAUGCCAAUGGCACUGCCCGGUAGCUAAAUGCGGAAGAGAUAAGUGCUGAAAGCAUCUAAGCACGAAACUUGCCCCGAGAUGAGUUCUCCCUGAGACUUAGAGUCUCCUGAAGGAACGUUGAAGACGACGACGUUGAUAGGCCGGGUGUGUAAGCGCAGCGAUGCGUUGAGCUAACCGGUACUAAUGAACCGUGAGGCUUAACCUU